rnacentral:rRNA from 1 species
CAAUAGCGUAUAUUUAAGUUGCUGCAGUUAAAAAGCUCGUAGUUGGAUUUCGGGUGGGAAUGGCGGGUCCGCCGUUUCGGUGUGCACUUGCUACGCCCACCUUGCUGCCGGGGACGUGCUCUUGAGUUCACGCUCGGGACACGGAGUCGGCGAGGUUACUUUGAGUAAAUUAGAGUGUUCAAAGCAGGCCUACGCUCUGAAUACAUUAGCAUGGAAUAACACGAUAGGACUCUGGCCUAUCUUGUUGGUCUGUAGGACCGGAGUAAUGAUUAAGAGGGACAGUCGGGGGCAUUCGUAUUUCAUUGUCAGAGGUGAAAUUCUUGGAUUUAUGAAAGACGAACUACUGCGAAAGCAUUUGCCAAGGAUGUUUUCAUUAA